CCUACGGGCGGCAGCAGUGAGGAAUAUUGGUCAAUGGGCGGAAUCCUGAACCAGCCAUGCCGCGUGCAGGACGACGGCCCUACGAGUUGUAAACUGCUUUUGUACCGGGGUAAAAUGCUCUACGUGUAGGGCUUUGAAAGUACGGUACGAAUAAGGAUCGGCUAACGCCGUGCCAUCAGCCGCGGUAAUACGGAGGAUCCGAGCGUUAUCCGGAUGCAUUGGGUUUAAAGGGUGCGUAGGUUGUUUUAUAAGUUAGCGGUGAAAUACCGAUGCUCAACGUCGGGGCUGCCGCUGAUACUGUAGGACUAGAGAGCGGAUGCGGCAGGCGGAAUGUGUGGUGUAGCGGUGAAAUGCAUAGAUAUUACACAGAACACCGAUUGCGAAGGCAGCUUGCUAGGCCGGAUCUGACACUGAUGCACGAAAGCGUGGGGAUCGAACAGGAUUAGAUACCCUGGUAGUC
rnacentral:rRNA from 1 species